CUUUAACGGGUGCCUGCAAGCUGGUAGGAAGCAUGGGCCCAUGCAGUGUCUGCUGGAGAAGGGCCCUAGGACUUUCAGACCUACUCAUGGUCAUCUUCCAUGAGCAGGGGCAGCAUGCUCAGGCUUGCCAGCGUUAUGCAGCAGCUCGUCUCAGGAUUUUCGCUGUAAGGAGCGACCUCUAGUGCUCUCCGAGCCGCUGCUCCGGCACUGGAAGCACAUGGGGUUUGGAGAGUGAGCCUUUUGGAGAAAACAUGAACACUAGGAGAAGGUAGCAAAGCUCUCUUUUCCAAGGUCUUUUACCACUUACGGAGGAAAAUAUUCCAGUAAUCCUGUUGGAGGCAGCAGACAACAAAGAAAUUGCUGAAAUGCAGUAAUGCCAUAUCCCGAAGGAAAGCCUGAGCGCUCAGUCACUGUAAAGCUCUUUGCAAAAUGCACACAGAGACUCAAGGACAUUCCUCAAGGAUGACAGUUCCUGCAUGUGUCAUACCUAACCCCGAGUCACCAAAACUGGUCCCUGAGCCACUUGGUCUCCGUUGUCCCUGCUCCGAACAGAGAGUUGGACCUGAUGACCUCCGGGGACCCCUCCAGCCUCAGCUGUUCAAGGACGCUGUGACCCCCCAGGAAUGGUGUGAAGGGUCCAAGGCUUCACCUGAGAGACGGCCACAAGAAUGUCUUUACAGCUGAUUAAUAGCAGCCCACACCAGAGAAGACGGGAGAGAAGACAAGUACGGCUUGUCUUUUUAGCAGUCCAGGAAAAGGAAGGAAGGGAUCAGGAGUUCGAGUUGUGCCUUUGCUUCUCUCUCAUGCUGUAGCCAGUGAUCUCUCACUGCGAGUAACAGGAGAGACUUUGCGCAGCCCACGUGGCCACAUCAGAUUAUAAGACAUGGCCCUUUUAACUUGAAGGAAUUUGUAGGAACUGAUGUGGUAGUGGCCAGCGCUGGCCAUGCUGUCUCCUGUGGGAAAGCCACAAAGUCAUCAUCACGAGUCAAUGACAUUUCUUUGCAGUACUUAAUGCUGGGCCUAAAGCAUGAACAGACUGUGUCAUCACCAGAGAGUGUUUUACUUUUAUUUAUGAAGGUUUUGUGAUUCUGAAAGUCUCUCUGCUGGUAGAGGAUCCCUCCAGUCCUCCAAGGCUGGUAUCACUCUUUCAGCAAGCAGAGGUCAAAGACAUUUUUUGACAGAUAUUGUCUGCCUGACUGGCUCUUCCUGGAAUCUCAUGCAAAGUGAGAACAACUGCUUUUGCACAUGCUACACAACUGUAAAUGUAGCUUUAUGAGAAGCAUUCACCAAGCAAUAUAAGCAGAUAUUGGACUCACUGCUUUAAUAAGAUGUAGAUGGAAAUCAUGAAAUAAUUCACAAUAAGACAAAAUAUCAAAUAGUUCAAAUGAAGUCCUGGAAUCAGAUCUGAGACUGGUUUCAUAUGUCCUGUCUGUCAGGUUAUAUUCUGAAGUUAGAUACUUAGCUGAUACAAAUAAACCUUUCUGCUUUA